CGCUGGGCUGUUUGGUGCUUUGACAUCUUGUCUCCAUGGCAGUGCUCAGCUGGCAGGGCUGAUCAGGGAGGCCUAUUCAUUAACUCGGGGAGCCCGGGCCAGCGCGGCCAUGCCGGUGCCGCGGUGGACUGAGCAGCUGCCGGGGCAGGCAGCGAGCAGGCAAAAUGGAUCUCACUCUCCUCUUGGCAGCAGUCCUGGGGCUCCUUAUUGUCAAGGCUGUUUUGUUUCAGCUGAGAAACCCGAGCUGCCCUCCUUGCAUCAGGAGCUGGAUCCCUUGGUUUGGAGCCGCGUUUCAGUUCGGGAAAGCUCCUCUGGAGUUUAUAGAGCAAGCUAGGAACAAGUAUGGACCCGUAUUCACAAUAUUCGCUCUGGGAAAACGAUUUACUUUUGUGACUGAGGAAGAAGGAACUGAAGCAUUUUUUAAAUCUGAAGACUUAAACUUUGAACAGGCAGUACAACAAGCUGUCAAGAAUGCAGUUUCUGUCCCUGCAGAAGCAUUUUAUCAGAAUCACGGUAACCUGUACAGCAUGAUGAAGGGGAAAAUGAGUCCUUCCAAUCUGCACAUGUUCACGGGCACUUUGUGUAAGGAGCUACAUGAGCACAUGGCUCAGCUGGGCAUGGAGGGCACAGGCGACCUCAAUGACCUGGUAAGGCAUGUCAUGUAUCCAGCAGUGGUGAACACCUUGUUUGGGAAAGGCAUCUGCCCGACAAGUCAGAGCAAAAUCAAGGAGUUUGAAGAACAUUUUCAGAAGUACGAUGAGGACUUUGAAUACGCUUCUCAGAUGCCUGAGUGCUUCCUGAGGAACUGGUCUAAAUCCAAAAAAUGGCUUCUAAAAUUAUUUGAGAAAGUAGUGUUGGAUGCUGAAAGGACCAACCCUUCAGACACCACAUCCAAGACACUACUGCAACAUCUUCUGGACAACUUGCAAGGAAAACAUUUAGCUCCCAAUUAUGGUCUCCUCAUGCUCUGGGCUGCCCAAGCAAAUGCUGUCCCCGUUGCAUUUUGGACCCUUGCUUUCAUACUGUCUCAUCCUUCCAUUUACAAGAAAGUCAUGGAAGACCUGGAUUCUGUUUUUGGCAAAGCAGGUAAAGAUAAACUGGAAGUCUCUGAAGAGGACCUGAAGAAGCUCCCUUUUAUUAAAUGGUGCACUUUGGAAGCCAUACGGCUGAGGUCUCCAGGUGCAAUCACCAAGAAAGUAAUAAACCCAAUUAAAAUUAAGAAUUUCACCAUCCCUGCAGGUGACAUGCUGAUGUUGUCGCCCUAUUGGUUGCACCGGAAUCCAAAAUAUUUUCCAGACCCAGAAACGUUCAAACCUGAUCGUUGGAAAGAGGCAAAUUUAGAGAAGAAUGCUUUCUUGGACAGCUUUGUGGCAUUUGGAGGAGGGAAGCAUCAGUGUCCAGGAAGGUGGUUUGCGAUCAUGGAAAUCCAGUUGUUCGUUGUUCUGUUCCUGUACAAGUAUGAAUUUGUGGCGUUGGAUGCAGUACCAAAGGAGAGCCCUUUACACUUGGUGGGGACACAGCAACCCAUGGCACCAUUCCGGGUCCAGUAUAAAUGCCGGGAAUAAAAGCUGCCCAGCACUAACCUUCCUUUCCCACCUACCUCCCCCCCGCGAUGGAUGAACCACUGAGCUGCUUCCCUAUCCUACACCUUCGGAUAAGUUCUCUGCCUGAAGAGUUCUUAAUUUCAACUUUCAAUGCUGCACAUACUCAGUAUUCACAUAUUCAAUGCUGAACUGUGCUCUGCCAUACCAGAAUAGUCAUACCUGUGCUCUGCACCUGGUUGCCCACGUCCUAGUGCUUAAAAUCCAAGCUCUCCUGCUGCAUUCAUACUUUCGGGGGCAGUUAUUCACAGAUUUUGCAAAUCUGAUAUGCUAAGCUUGCCAACCAAACAUUCAGGACAAAAAGCUGCAGUGUUUGGAAAUCCUGCGGGGAAGCUGUGCUAGAACCAGCUAGAAUGUGCAGGUUGCUUCAAACCAAGGCCAAAGUGGUGCCUCAUGUUAAGAAAUCAGAUUGGUAACACUGUACAUCUCCCUGGUGUUGGUGUGCACAAUAUCCAGGACAGUCUGAGCAGAGACCACCGGAUCAGUUCCACAGCCUGAUAAAGUAUCAUGACUUCUGUGCCACUGCCUCUGUGGGUAGGUGAAGAUCUGGCCUGCUCUGCCUGCAACAGGUGCCAACUUUUUGCAAAUAAAAUGCAUUUGUAAUGGAAAAAUUGCAAGCACUUAUUCCAUCGGAGCCCCUAAAAUUUCUACUGAGCAUUACUUGUUCCACAGGAUUCAGGAUCGGUCCUGGCAUGAAUAUACAAUGAAAGUUUGACUGGGAUGUUCAGCUCCCAAUAAAAAGUGACUGCAAGAAAAGACUGGUUGUCUAAUAUCUAGAACACUUUUGCUUUCCCUUUCACAUGACCUAUAGAACAAAUUGCACAAAUCUAAGAAUAUUCAAUCCUAUAAAGAAUACCUAGUAAAAGUUGUUUGAUGGAGCUGUCAAGUAAGCUCAGAUAACACUUUCACUGCUGUCAGAUUUCAUAUACAAUAAUAGCUGGCAUGUAUUUUUAGUCUUUUAAGUAAAGAUUAUUCAUCAUUUUAAAAGUAUUUGCAAAAAAAAAAAAAAUCCCACACAAAUAGACUUUCAACAACAGUAAAACUAUGGGAAUAACAAGCACAGGAAAAUAACACAUUGUAUAAUUCAUUACGUGGUUGGCUUACCUUUGUUAUGGAUAGAACAACUUCAAUGAUUUAUAUGGUUGGAAAAUGAUUCAUCCAACUUCUAAUUUAGCUCAUUAUAGUCAACUCUGCAAGAGUUGCACUCUUAACUGCUGUUUCAGUGUCUCUUCCAAAACUGAAAUCUAUUCCCUUGGUUUUCAUGUAUGGUAUUACUUAGAAGUGUAUAUUUUAAUUUUAAAAUUUGGCAAUCACUGCAAUAUCCGUAAGGCCAGGUGGGACAGGGCUUUGAGCAACCUGGUUUAGUGGAAGGUAUCCCUGUCUGUGGCAAGGGUUUGGAAUGAGAUGAUCUUUGAGGUCCCUUCCACCCCAAACCAUUCUGUGAUUCUGUGAUGAUUUUUCUAUAUAUUUUGCACCCCUUUUGCACAGACCUUUACCUUGAUGUGCCAGAGCAGGGAGCAGGAUGAGGCCAUUGGUGUUGCUUCUGUGAGUGCUGAGUGUUUCUGUCUGAGUUGGCCAGUGGGGCCAUCAUUGCAUACACGCGUUUUACACGUGUGUUUGUGUAUGUGCCUGCUGGGAAUCCAUGUGCAGCCUCACUACAGGCUGGGCCCAGAGCUACAGCAGCCUCACUUCUGUGAGGAUACAGGAUUUAGCAACUUGCUAAGCAGCUGAGAAUCAGACAUGAAAAUAUCUGUCCUGAAAGGCAUGACUUAUUUUUAUUAGAAAUGUGGGCAUUUGGCAGGAAAGAAAUACCUGUUUGUGGCAGAGAAAUACCAAAAUACCAAACAAGCAGGUAAAGAAAAGAGGGCUUGGCUCUGGGAUCCCAUCAGUGCCUGUGGUGGAUGACAGCUCCAGGCACUCACUGUACUUUCCUAGGUG